rnacentral:rRNA from 1 species
AUUGAACGCUGGCGGCAGGCCUAACACAUGCAAGUCGAACGGUAACAGGAAGAAGCUUGCUUCUUUGCUGACGAGUGGCGGACGGGUGAGUAAUGUCUGGGAAACUGCCUGAUGGAGGGGGAUAACUACUGGAAACGGUAGCUAGUACCGCAUAAUGUCGCAAGACCAAAGAGGGGGACCUUCGGGCCUCUUGCCAUCGGAUGUGCCCAGAUGGGAUUAGCUAGUAGGUGGGGUAACGGCUCACCUAGGCGACGAUCCCUAGCUGGUCUGAGAGGAUGACCAGCCACACUGGAACUGAGACACGGUCCAGACUCCUACGGGAGGCAGCAGUGGGGAAUAUUGCACAAUGGGCGCAAGCCUGAUGCAGCUAUGCCGCGUGUAUGAAGAAGGCCUUCGGGUUGUAAAGUACUUUCAGCGGGGAGGAAGGGAGUAAAGUUAAUACCUUUGCUCAUUGACGUUACCCGCAGAAGAAGCACCGGCUAACUCCGUG